UUUUUACAGUGCAGAACUACACACUUUCCCGUUCCUGUACUUUGUUCACAAGUUAAAGAUAAGCAAUGACAUACAUUUUACACAAACGCUCCCUAUAAAUGCCAAUUGAAUUAAUGUCAACUAUCUGCAGGAUACUUGAAGAAAUGGACCUUGUAAUCCUCGUUGUGUGGUUUUUCCUUUGCUUCGAUUCAGGAUAUCCAUCUCCGAUGGGCCCAGAGUGCUACAACCUUCCUGCUCAAAUCACUGACAAGUUGCUCAAAUAUGUAAAUGCAUGUACCAUCAAAAAAAUGUUGUGAGCAUUUUUUCUCUUAAUGUAAUUUUACCUUAUUUAAUGUUAUAUCGAAUUUGUUUCCUAUGAAACUAGUAUAUGUUAAUAUUUUACA